UCAAAUUUAUGGUGUCCCCACUGUCUCAUGU
rnacentral:piRNA from 1 species